UUCAAGAUAUUCUUUGCCUUUGUUUUGUUUUGUUGCUCAUCAGUAGAGGAUCUGAUGAACUAUGCCUUCCAUGAAGAAAGCAUAAUUUCUCUAGAUGUGUGUCACCUAACUGGGACAUCAUGAACCACUACAUAGCAUUCACAUUGGGAUCAUCCUCCUCUGUGAUGUGCGGUGGGUCUAGAUAGACUCUCUAGCAAUGGAAGGAGACAGUCUCAAGAGGAGCAGAUAAGAACACUGAGGAAGACUCUAUAACCAGGCUUUCCGACAAACCUGGUCCUGAUGAUUCAUGGCCUACAUCGGCUAGCCAAGACUUCGAUUUGGUACCAAGGUAAAGUACCCUCCUGUGAAAUUCACUUUCCCACUCUGAAUUGAGUUUUCUCCCAUAUUUACUCUUAAAAUUUAACAGUAGCCUGUGUAUCAUCAUUUUAUGUGUGUAAUGGAAAGUUAGCAAGA